rnacentral:sRNA from 1 species
CCGUCCCGACUGCUGAA